rnacentral:rRNA from 1 species
UACGUAGGGGGCAAGCGUUGUCCGGAAUCAUUGGGCGUAAAGCGCGUGUAGGCGGUCCGGUAAGUCCGCUGUGAAAGUCGGGGGCUCAACCCUCGGAUGCCGGUGGAUACUGUCGGGCUUGAGUACGGAAGAGGCGAGUGGAAUUCCGUGGUGUAGCGGUGAAAUGCGCAGAUAUCAGGAGGAACACCAAUUGCGAAGGCAG